AUCCAGCUGACGAGUCCCAAAUAGGACGAUACGCGUGUCCUGGAU
rfam:Schistosoma haematobium scaffold288_10, whole genome shotgun sequence.